rnacentral:misc_RNA from 1 species
AUAUAUAACACGUGCAAGUGCGUCAGAGAAUUCUACCCAUGAAGAGGUAUAGGACUCUCCGCUCAAAAACUGAGAAGCAGGAGCAGAGAGGAAAUGGAAAGAUUCACAUGAGACCAAAAAGUUGUUAUAAUUACCAAACUAAUAACGAGUUCUCGACGACAAGCAAAGUACAGGUCUUGUGGACAUGGCAAAUAAGUUUCAACGGUGACCUGAUUUUCAGAGACCCAGUUCUUUUCCUCGGGCCUUAAACAUUUCAAUAGUAAUUAGUUUGAUCAUUUUCAGCUCUAACGUAACGAAUCAUGAAUCAUAAUGCACAUGACAAAAAAAUAUGCAAAACCCUCGAAUUGUGCAAAAAUAUGUUUCACACACUACAUACACCUACUUGCAUCAAUAUUCAAAUAACGGAGGCACGACGGAUCAUCGUCGAAGUUCGUCGCGAAGUUCGUCGGUCCGUAAUUACUUUUGCUCUGCAAGGUAUUCAACAAUGUUUACAUCUGGAAACACGAGCUAUAAAUUACUUACUAAAUAAUAUCAAAUUAAGCAGACACACAGAUGACACAUAGUUGGAAAGAGUGACAGCAGUGUAGCUGGAUAUGUGACUCGUGGGCACUCUUCGAAGUGGAGGCAAUUUGUGUCAUUGCAGAUGGUGGUUGGUGAGGAAUUCACUGCAGUCAUUCGGUACCACUCUCUACUGGGCGAUGCUAAGGAUAAUAGGAAGUAAUGAGCUUUGGAAAUUAUAAUUUUCCGCUUUGAAAAGUAAAGAAAUUGUAAUAUCUUCACGACUCUCAGUAGUUGUUGAAUUUUCUAAUCAGAUUCUUGUUUCCAAGAUUAGAAUACAGAAAAACACUGCCUUGUCAUCAUUUUUUACUUUAUUCCCCAUGUUUCCUGAAUGUUUUUCAUUUCCUUCAUUGUUUAUUAAUUAAUUACCAGAUCUCCUCCAUCUCCUACCAGCGGCCAAUAAUAUUCAGGUGAAGUUCUACAACCCUAGAUUUAUUUCUAAUUCUUUUCUAACUUAUUCUGAUUUUUUCUAAUUUUUUCUAGUUUUUUCUGAUUUUUUCCGAUUUUUUCCAAAUUUUUUAAAAUUUCGUCGCCCCGGAGGCAGUCG